rnacentral:rRNA from 1 species
GACUGCGUACCUUUUGUAUAAUGGGUCAGCGACUUAUAUUCUGUAGCAAGGUUAACCGAAUAGGGGAGCCGGAGGGAAACCGAGUCUUAAUUGGGCGUUAAGUUGCAGGGUAUAGACCCGAAACCCGGUGAUCUAGCCAUGGGCAGGUUGAAGGUUGGGUAACACUAACUGGAGGACCGAACCGACUAAUGUUGAAAAAUUAGCGGAUGACCUGUGGCUGGGGGUGAAAGGCCAAUCAAACCGGGAGAUAGCUGGUUCUCCCCGAAAGCUAUUUAGGUAGCGCCUCGUGAAUUCAUCUCCGGGGGUAGAGCACUGUUUCGGCUAGGGGGCCAUCCCGGCUUACCAACCCGAUGCAAACUGCGAAUACCGGAGAAUGUUAUCACGGGAGACACACGGCGGGUGCUAACGUCCGUCGUGAAGAGGGAAACAACCCAGACCGCCAGCUAAGGUCCCAAAGUCAUGGUUAAGUGGGAAACGAUGUGGGAAGGCCCAGACAGCCAGGAUGUUGGCUUAGAAGCAGCCAUCAUUUAAAGAAAGCGUAAUAGCUCACUGGUCGAGUCGGCCUGCGCGGAAGAUGUAACGGGGCUAAACCAUGCACCGAAGCUGCGGCAGCGACGCUUAUGCGUUGUUGGGUAGGGGAGCGUUCUGUAAGCCUGCGAAGGUGGCCUGUGAGGGUUGCUGGAGGUAUCAGAAGUGCGAAUGCUGACAUAAGUAACGAUAAAGCGGGUGAAAAGCCCGCUCGCCGGAAGACCAAGGGUUCCUGUCCAACGUUAAUCGGGGCAGGGUGAGUCGACCCCUAAGGCGAGGCCGAAAGGCGUAGUCGAUGGGAAACGGGUUAAUAUUCCCGUACUUGGUGUUACUGCGAAGGGGGGACGGAGAAGGCUAUGUUGGCCGGGCGACGGUUGUCCCGGUUUAAGCGUGUAGGUGUGUGUUCCAGGUAAAUCCGGUUCACUUUAACACUGAGGCGUGACGACGAGGCACUACGGUGCUGAAGCAACAAAUGCCCUGCUUCCAGGAAAAGCCUCUAAGCAUCAGGUAACAUCAAAUCGUACCCCAAACCGACACAGGUGGUCAGGUAGAGAAUACCAAGGCGCUUGAGAGAACUCGGGUGAAGGAACUAGGCAAAAUGGUGCCGUAACUUCGGGAGAAGGCACGCUGACACGUAGGUGAAGUGAUUUACUCAUGGAGCUGAAGUCAGUCGAAGAUACCAGCUGGCUGCAACUGUUUAUUAAAAACACAGCACUGUGCAAACACGAAAGUGGACGUAUACGGUGUGACGCCUGCCCGGUGCCGGAAGGUUAAUUGAUGGGGUCAGCGCAAGCGAAGCUCCUGAUCGAAGCCCCGGUAAACGGCGGCCGUAACUAUAACGGUCCUAAGGUAGCGAAAUUCCUUGUCGGGUAAGUUCCGACCUGCACGAAUGGCGUAAUGAUGGCCAGGCUGUCUCCACCCGAGACUCAGUGAAAUUGAACUCGCUGUGAAGAUGCAGUGUACCCGCGGCAAGACGGAAAGACCCCGUGAACCUUUACUAUAGCUUGACACUGAACAUUGAGCCUUGAUGUGUAGGAUAGGUGGGAGGCUUUGAAGUGUGGACGCCAGUCUGCAUGGAGCCGACCUUGAAAUACCACCCUUUAAUGUUUGAUGUUCUAACGUGGACCCGUUACCCGGGUUGCGGACAGUGUCUGGUGGGUAGUUUGACUGGGGCGGUCUCCUCCUAAAGAGUAACGGAGGAGCACGAAGGUUGGCUAAUCCUGGUCGGACAUCAGGAGGUUAGUGCAAUGGCAUAAGCCAGCUUGACUGCGAGCGUGACGGCGCGAGCAGGUGCGAAAGCAGGUCAUAGUGAUCCGGUGGUUCUGAAUGGAAGGGCCAUCGCUCAACGGAUAAAAGGUACUCCGGGGAUAACAGGCUGAUACCGCCCAAGAGUUCAUAUCGACGGCGGUGUUUGGCACCUCGAUGUCGGCUCAUCACAUCCUGGGGCUGAAGUAGGUCCCAAGGGUAUGGCUGUUCGCCAUUUAAAGUGGUACGCGAGCUGGGUUUAGAACGUCGUGAGACAGUUCGGUCCCUAUCUGCCGUGGGCGCUGGAGAACUGAGGGGGGCUGCUCCUAGUACGAGAGGACCGGAGUGGACGCAUCACUGGUGUUCGGGUUGUCAUGCCAAUGGCACUGCCCGGUAGCUAAAUGCGGAAGAGAUAAGUGCUGAAAGCAUCUAAGCACGAAACUUGCCCCGAG